rnacentral:rRNA from 1 species
GUCUGAACCAGCCAUGUCGCGUGCAGGAUGACGGCCCUACGGGUUGUAAACUGCUUUUUUACGGGAAUAAACACAUCUACGUGUAGAUGUCUGAAGGUACCGUAUGAAUAAGGAUCGGCUAACUCCGCGCCAGCAGCCGCGGUAAUACGGAGGAUUCUAGCGUUAUCCGGAUUUAUUGGGUUUAAAGGGUCCGUAGGCGGGCCUGUAAGUCAGUGGUGAAAUCUCACAGCUCAACUGUGAAACUGCCAUUGAUACUGCAGGUCUUGAAUAUAGUUGAGGUGGGCGGAAUACGUUAUGUAGCGGUGAAAUGCAUAGAUAUAACGUAGAACACCGAUUGCGAAGGCAGCUCACUAAGCUAAUAUUGACGCUGAUGGACGAAAGCGUGGGGAGCGAACAGGAUUAGAUACCCUGGUAGUCCACGCCGUAAACGAUGAUUACUCGUUGUGCGCGAUACACAGUGCGCGACUGAGCGAAAGCAUUAAGUAAUCCAC